AAAACGUUCCCCUCUCUCCCUAAAAUCUCUCCCACAUCUUUAACCACCUAUCCCCCUAAUUUAAUCACCAAAUUAGUUCAUUCUUCUUCAUAUUCACUCUCUGCAAUCAAGAAACCAGACGUCCUCUUUCAACUUCUAUUCAAGAAAUUGAGAACUAAGGAGAGGGAGUUCCUGUUCCGUCCAGUUGCAAAUCUGCAAAUUUAAGGUGAGAUUUCGCAAGGGAAUCGAGAUACCAAAGGGAAGGAAGUGUAGAGAAUUAAUCAAUUGAGGUUGAGCGUGACGGGUGCGGUGGGUGUUGAGCAAGACCGUUGAAGAAAUUAAGUGUUUAGAAUGUGUCAUGUCUUCACACGUGGCAUAUUCCUUCUCUCAAAUGCUUCCGCUAAGUAGUUUUCAUUCUUUUGAGCUCUUGUAUCGUUAAAUAUUGUUUCUUUUGAGUUGUUGAUCGUUGAGACACUCUGA